UUGAGGUAUAACCUAUGAAAGAUCAAAGAGUUUUGUUACUCCUGAGAUUACUCAUACAUUAUUGAUAAAAAACUCGUUAUCGCUUUAAAAAUUAAUUGUUAAAAUUAAGCUGUCAAAUGUAAUCUAUAAUAAUGUCUAAUUACGACUCAAACAAUUUAGAGUAAUUAGAGUAAUUAGAGUAUUGUUAAAUUUUUAUUUUACAAUCAAAUUUUUGUUUUAAAGUAUUAAUUUUCCAAAUGUUUGAAAGUCAAUUGGCAAGCGAAUUACCUAAAAAAAUAGGUAUAAAUUGUAUUUCGCUGAUGGAAAUAGACGAUCUAAUGAAAUUUAUUAUUUUGGAUCCAUACAUGGGAUGUUCAACACGUAAAAUGCUCCCAUUGAAAAGUUUUAUCUUAGAAAAUAAGAUUAAUAAUGAAAUGAUUAUCUCCAAACAAAAGUUGUUACCUAAAGAAAAAUUACAUGAAGUUGAAGAUGCACUGAAAAAUUUUCUGAAUGAGCAAAAUUUAUAUUACACUUUUAAUAUUAAAUACAGAUCAUGGGUUAAUGUACCAAUGAGAUUUUAUCUUGAAACAAUUACUAUUGAAUCACCAGUGAGCAUUGAGCUGUGUAAUAGAUAUAAUGAAAAAAUUGGUUUAAAAAUUUCAGCUAAAGUAAAUAUAAGCAACAACGUAAAAAUAAGAUGUUUGUCAGGCAUUUAUAAACAAAUGAGUAUGCAACGGGAACAAAUACUAGCAGAGAGAAAUUUAAAUUUCUCAGUUAUAGAGAGUUCAAGAAUAAAAGCACCAGUAUUGAUGUUGGGUACUGCAGCUUUAGUAAACCACGAUUGUGAUCCAAAUUGUAUAUAUUUUACGACAUCUAAGAGUGUAAUUAUAAUUUUAACAAUAAAAAAUAUUAGAAGAGGGGAUGAGUUGUAUUGCUAUUAUGGCAAAAACUAUUUUGGCCCAAACAAUGAACAAUGUAAAUGCAAGACUUGUGAGAAAAAUAAGAAUGGUUUUUUUAAACAAGUUAUUGAUAAAGAAUCUAACGGCACUUCAACUUCUCAAAGCUUCAAUUUGUCCAAUGGUAGUAUGGGUGCAGUCCCUAAUCUUGAGGAUUGUUCAAUAGAAUCAGGGCACUCUAGUAAACUUGCAGCAUCAUGUAAAAGUUCAAGUUCAAAGUCAAAUGAAAAUUUGCCUCUAUUUGAUCAAAAUUCUGUUACAAUAAGAGAUGACAGUUCCUAUAAUACUGAUGCUUUGAAAGAAAUUUUAUCAUCACCGAACAAAACUAAAUUUAAUAAAAAGGAAUUUGUUUUUGAAGACUCUAUUACAAUUUCAAAAUUUUCAGAUGAUUCAUAUGAAGAAUUUUAUGGGUUUUCAAAUUAUUUAAAAUUAGACAAAAAAAUUGCUUAUGCAUACGUCAAGUUGGAGAUACUCAAUUCAUCAAUUAUUCAGUACUACCAAGUAAAAAACAUAGAAAGAUAUUCAUUCUGUUUAUACUGUGAAAAAUUUUUAACUCAUUUUGCUAGACACUUAAUGAUGGCUCAUAAGAAUAAAGAUAUUGUAAUAAAAUUUCUAAAAGAUGAUAAUGAACUGAAGUAUCCAGCUAUUAAUUUUUUACGUAACCAAGGGCUUGCUCACUACCAGCAAUUGACAGGUAUUAUAAUUCCAGUUAUGAAAGUGAGAAAAGACGCAGUGCACAAAGUUGAAAAAGUACAGUGUAAUACUUGUUAUGGCUAUUUUUCAAAGAAAACCUUGUGGAGGCAUCAACAGUUAUGCAAAAAUUUUAUAUCCUCUAUUCGAUCAAAGUUCUGAAGCAGUACACUUCAAAAAACUGGAGCAUUCAUGUGACAAUUUAAGAACAAAUUCCAAUGAAAAUCUAUGUCUCUCCAAUGGACUUUUUACAAUAAGGGAUGACAUUAUUCUUACAAUACCGAUGCUUUGAAAGUAAUUUUAUUAUCAUCGAACAAAACUAAAUUCAAUAAAAAGGAAUUUGUUUUUGAAGACUAUUACAAUUUCAAAAUUUUCAGAUGAUUCAUAUAAAGAAUUUUAUGGGUUUCCAAAUUAUUUAAAAUUAGACAAAAAAAUUGCUUAUGCAUAAGUUGGAGAUGCUUGAUUCAUCAAUUAUUCAGUACUACUCUACCAAGUGAAAAGCAGAAGGAUAUUCAUUCUAUUUAUACUGUGAAAAAUUUAUAACCCAUUUUGCUAGACACUUAAUGAUGGCUCAUAAUGAUAAAGAUAUUGUAAUAAAAUUUCUAAAAGAUGAUAAUGAACCGAAGUAUCCAGCUAUUAAUUUUUUACGUAACCAAGGGCUUGCUCACUCCAGCAAUUGACAGAGAUUAUAAUUCUUGUGCAAGCA